AUGGCUGGGCCAGAGAACCAACCUGUGCCAGUAUCAGUCGCCCCUAUAUGCAAUGAAUGCAUAAAGUCAGGUUGUUUAGAAAGGCACUCCUGCACAAAAAGGGAGGAAGAAGGGGAACAGGCAGGCUACUCCAAAGCUGGGCCAUCAUGGGAACAAGGAUUCUGUUCUUCUGGCAAAAGAGGACCGUCCUGCCUCCUCAAGACUCCCUCCUUUUGCAAGAUCUCCUCCCAAGCUGACGGGCCUCCAUCCACCAAGUCUGUAGAAGAGACAAGAGGAAGCAAGCUGCUCAGCUGCCCCCUUGCCAAAGGUGUGCUGAGCACUUACAGUAUAACAACAUUAUGA
rnacentral:lncRNA from 1 species